GGAGAAUUGAGAUUCCUGAUGACAUCAACAAAGCCAGGGAGACUUCCUGUCAUCAAUGCCUGUAGAAAGAAACAUGUCAAGACUUAGAUUACAGAUCCAAAAGUAAAGCACAAGAGACAGGAAGAUCAGUUGGGGGUCAAACAGGAAGAAACCCUGCUUGUAUACAGUUCUCAAAGUGAACUGGGCCAAGAAUGUCAGCGGAACAUCAAUCACACCUACAAUACUGCACCACAUAACAGAUGGUGG
rnacentral:lncRNA from 1 species